GAGACUCUUUUCGUCGUCGGCGACCCCGCGCUCUGGCGGCCCGGAGACUCGGGGCCUGAGCCCGGGCCCCACCGCCCGAAGGGCGAAAGGUCGCCCUUGCACCGCCGCCGCCGCGGGGCCGGAGCCGGGGAGGGCGCCAGCGGCGGCUGCACGGCUUCCCGCCUGACGCAGCAGCGGCGGCGGCGGCGGCGGCGGCGGGCCAGGCUCGGCCGCCAUCGCUGCCGCCUCAGCGCACCCCCCCCACCCGCCGCAGCCGCUUCCCCUGCUGGCCUCGGGCAGCCCGCCCGCCCCGGCCCCGGCCCUGCCCGACCUCCGCCCCGCUCCCCGAAAACAGACGACGGUUACCUAAGACGUCGAACAGGGCCCGCGACGGUAGCGGGGUCGGACGCUUCAGCUCCCGAGGAGGGUAUAGGGACGGCGGCGGCGGCAGCGGCUGUUUAUUUUCGGGGUCCUAGCCUGCGCCACACGCGGGUCUGCACACGGCCCCACACACGCCGUUGCGCACGGCCCCUCCGCCUCGCCCACGCGGCCAAUCAGCGCCCGGAUUGCGGAGGACCAAUCAGCGCCGUCCGCAGGGAAAGGAGGGGGGGCCCCCCAACGCCUUCCUCCACCGCGGCUCAGCCCCUCCCCUUUCUCUUUCCCGCCUUCCCCUCAGCCCCCUACUGUCCGGCUCCAGUCCCUGGCUCAGUCAGUUCCCAUUUGGGAUCGGCUAUGGCGUGGCGGUGUGUGGAGUCCCAGCCUCGCCCCGGGGGUCCGCUCUGCCCUGCGGCCCGCCCGCCCUUCCCGGCGGCCGGUCCUUCCUCGCCAGGGCCCGAGAGGGAGCCCAGCCCCCUUGCUCCCCUACCGGGUUUGGCGGUCGCUGUGGGGGGGUUCAGCGGAGGCGAUGUGCACAUCACCACCUCGGUCAUAGACUGCGCCCCGGGUAUGGCUCCCUGCGCGCUGCCGAGUACGCGGGCAUGGCCGGGAGGAAACUGAAUUGCCUCAGUCCUGAAGAAAGAAAAAAAAAGAUGUUUAAUGUAUGAGCUGGCAUUGGAUGCUUAAUGAUUGCUACAGUCAACACCCUCCUUCAAAGGCUGAGUCAUCUUUGCAAGAUCUGCACUGUGAGACUCCCUGUUGUGGUGCAAUAUUUAUAGAGAAAAUAGUCUAUAUAUUUGCUAAAGCUGAGGCUAAAAUAUAAUAUUUACUAUUAUUUUGAUAAGACAUUUCAUAAAACAUUCACUCAUUAAAAUAGCCUGCAAUGUAAAUGAAUAUUUUUAACACUACAGUGCUUGCUGACAGGGAUACUUUAUGAUCUUUCUCUAUGUGAAACAGGUAACCAUUGAAUUUAAUGUAGCAAUGAUUUAUCCCAAACCAUAAGAAAAACAUGAAGACAAAGAUUAAGACUUCUAAGGUGCCUAUGCUAUUAAAAUAAAUGCCAAUUACCAUUUAAGAUAUCUUUAUAG
rnacentral:lncRNA from 1 species